rnacentral:rRNA from 1 species
CCCCUAGACGUUCUGGGCUGCACGCGCGCUACAGUAAUACGCACAGCGAGUAUCACCGAGCUCGAAAGGGCAAGGUAAACAAUAGAAAAGGUACUGUAAUGGUUAUAGAUCCUUGUAAUUAUUGAUCUUCAACGAGGAAUUCCUAGUAAGUAUGUGUCAUCAUCACGCACUGAUUACGUCCCUGCCCUUUGUACACACCGCCCGUCGCUCCUACCGAUUGAGUGAGCCGAUGAAACUGCCGGAUGUGGACUAUUCAUAGUCUGCAGAAGAUAUUUGAAUCGUAGCGCUUAGAGGAAGGAGAAGUCGUAACA